UGCACGUGUAGCUCAGUGGACAGAGCACAUCGCUACGAACGAUGGCUGCCGCAGGUUCGAAUCCUGCCACGCGCAU
rnacentral:tRNA from 1 species